rnacentral:lncRNA from 1 species
CGCGAAUCGAUAGUGCCCGUUAUGAACAAGAUGGUGCUCUGGUCCUGGACUCUUUGUUUGACAAACUGCUUGGCCGGCUGUAGUGAAAUAAUACGAUAUCAUUUCAUUUUAACUUUCAGCCAGAAAAAUCCUCAUGGUUUGGUGACUUGUGUGUAAAGUGUCCUGAUCUUACACGUUUAGAAGAGUCGCCUUUGCCAGUCAGGAUGCUUAACCUCUGGACCUAAGGAAGGUGUGCAGCAGUUCGGAAAGAGCUUGUGUUUGAGGGGAAUGUCCCAGGAAGCAGCUCUUAAGCCUUCCUUAUGGCCUUUGAGACCCCGUCGGAAAACGGGGUAUUGAGGCAGAGUGACCCCAAGUACUUUUGAUUCACUCCACACAGACCUGGCUCAGAGCACAGACGCAGGAUGACACUCUCACUGGUUGGCUAAUGAUGACAGAGCUUCUUUUAGGGACAGCAUGGAGAUGAGGGAGUAUGUGAAAAUGUACUGGAGAUAAUGGUUUCUUGGAGGAACUUGAGUCCCCGAGACUCUUGCCUACCUGUUAAGUGCCUUUACUCUCAGAACGUUGCCGAAGUGUGAGGCUUGGCACCUGUUACAUUUCCAAACUUCCCGAGUUUCUCGCUAGGUUACACUCCUAAACCUUAUCGGUGAGCGGCAUGGCCUUUUCUUUAACUUGAUUUAAGGUGAGAAGAGACGAAAUGUUCCCCGCUCUCCUGGAAACAGCUGUCUCAAAUAAGGUGGCAGAAUUUAAUUACUCAGCAUCCACCGUGCUUCAGCCCCUUUUUAUUAGAUCCUCUCCUUACGUUAGGUACAGUGCUCAGAUGCUGAAACAGCAGGGAGUCCGGGGAGCUCAUGGGCCACACAGGAAAUGACUAAGAGUGCCAUUCCUCGACCUGCCAACCUAACAUGCAAGGGCACAAGGCUUUGUAUCGCUGUCCUCUUCGUCUGUAACACACGCUGUGCACUUUUAUCCAAAACCUCUUAAGAAGCUGUCAGUGAACAUUCUGUCUUCCUGUUGGCAUGGAUCAUUUACCUUGCUGAUAGCUUUAAGAACACCUUACAUAAGGAGUCCCAUCUUCCGUGACAUAGGUCAUGCAACCAGAGAGAGAGAGAGAGAGAGAGAGAGAGAGAGAGAUCAGAGUUCUCGGACCAUUCAACUGCAGAUUUGGACUUUCUGCCCUCUCACAGAGAGCAAAUAAGGAAGUAUUAAAGCUUACCUCACCUCUCCACGUUGUUAUCAAAAGCCUGUGUAGACAUGUCUUGAAUGUCAUUGAAAGUGAUGUAAAUAGCUGAAAAAUAGAAAUUUCUAUUACAGUUUAAGAACUCUAAUGAACAGUCACUCGCCACUGUUGACGAUCUAUUUGUAUUCUUAUGCCUUUUCAAUAUAUCUGAACAAAUAUAUAGUUUCUGCCACUAUUUUUAUACUAGCAUCAAAGAGUUACUAUGUAAAUUAUGUUUUGCUGUGAAGUCAUCCAAAAACGACUGAAAUGUUGGUUUCUUUCCUUUCCUCACCCCACAUGAUAAACCAUUUCCAGUGAUCCUUCUUCGAGGGUGUCAUUCUCCAGAAGCACACACCCACCUGGCCCCGGGUCCCUGUGGAGUCAGACCUGGUCAGGGAAGGGGAGAACUCACCACUUUGCUGGUUCUCAUUUUGCAGUGCUGUAAAAAUAAAGGGAAUGAACGAGAAUGCAUGUGGUGUGAUCAUUAGGGGACCUGGAGCUCUGAGGCUGAGGGCUUUACACUGGGGAAGCUGGUUCAGCUGGUCUGAGAGAAUCUUACAUGUGGCAUGACCACUAGUCAGUACUUACAUAGACUCUUCAAUACCAGUCUUUUUCCUUAUCGGUCAUGUUUCAUGCUACCAAUUUGAGAGUGGUGUUUCCCACCUUAACGGCGCUAUGGAGAGGUGUGGUAUUAACAACCUGGUGUCCACAGGGAGCUAAAACUUAGGUGCUGCCUUCUUGCCAAAUGGCUUGAACUUGAGUCAAGUCCAGAUGGGUGGCUUCACAGCCAAUGUUAAGACUACGCCUUGCUCUUUUUGAAUAUGGUGUUUUAAAAGCCCCACAUCCUGUCUUAUUAGAUUGAAUAUACUGCCUGGUAGCUUCAUAAACAACAUUGUUUUUCUCAGACAGUUUGGUUCUGUGAGCAUCAUUCCUUGAUUUAGUUCUGCUGAUAAAGGGUUAAUGUAAUGCCUCAAGGGACUCGCUGCUGUUUCUGGUAUAAAAGACAACAGGGUAUAGAUAUUGUGUGUGUGUGUGUGUGUGUGUGUGUGUGUGUGUGUGUGUG